UCCCUGGUAGUAUAUCGGUUAGUACACGCGCCUGUCAUUGGGUGAAUUUCUAGCUUUGCCGCGCGAAAGCUGGGUUCGACUCCCAGCCAGGGAG